CCCAGCUGCAGGCAACUGCCUAGGUUGCCUUGUACCUAGACAAGAGUUACACUGUUGGGAUUAAAAACAGUCAAUGGCUGGAUGGCAUUCUGGACCUGGUGCCUGGUUCAUGCCAACUGU
ensembl:snoRNA SNORA74 Small nucleolar RNA SNORA74